rnacentral:rRNA from 1 species
AUUGAACGCUGGCGGCAGGCCUAACACAUGCAAGUCGAACGAGUGGCGGACGGGUGAGUAAUGUCUGGGAAACUGCCCGAUGGAGGGGGAUAACUACUGGAAACGGUAGCUAAUACCGCAUACCAUCGGAUGUGCCCAGAUGGGAUUAGCUAGUAGGUGGGGUAACGGCUCACCUAGGCGACGAUCCCUAGCUGGUCUGAGAGGAUGACCAGCCACACUGGAACUGAGAACCGGUCCAGACUCCUACGUGAGGCGGCAGUGGGGAAUAUGGAACAAUGGGCGCAAGCCUGAUGCAGCCAUGCCGCGUGUAUGAAGAAGGCCUUCGGGUUGUAAAGUACGUUAAGCGAGGAGGCGUUACUCGCAGGAGAAGCACCGGCUAACUCCGUGCCAGCAGCCGCGGUAAUAC